rnacentral:rRNA from 1 species
UACGUAGGGUGCAAGCGUUGUCCGGAAUUAUUGGGCGUAAAGAGCUCGUAGGCGGUCUGUCGCGUCUGCUGUGAAAACUCAGGGCUUAACCCUGAGCUUGCAGUGGGUACGGGCAGAGUAGAGUGCGGUAGGGGAGACUGGAAUUCCUGGUGUAGCGGUGAAAUGCGCAGAUAUCAGGAGGAACACCGGUGGCGAAGGCGGGUCUCUGGGCCGUAACUGACGCUGGAGGAGCGAAAGCAUGGGGAGCGAACAGG